rnacentral:rRNA from 1 species
CCUACGGGUGGCAGCAGUGGGGAAUAUUGGACAAUGGGGGGAACCCUGAUCCAGCCAUGCCGCGUGUGUGAAGAAGGCCCUCGGGUUGUAAAGCACUUUCAGUGAGGAAGAACGCCUGGUGGUUAAUACCCAUCAGGAAAGACAUCACUCACAGAAGAAGCACCGGCUAACUCCGUGCCAGCAGCCGCGGUAAUACGGAGGGUGCGAGCGUUAAUCGGAAUUACUGGGCGUAAAGCGCGCGUAGGUGGCUUGAUAAGCCGGUUGUGAAAGCCCUGGGCUCAACCUGGGAACGGCAUCCGGAACUGUCAAGCUAGAGUGUAGGAGAGGAAGGUAGAAUUCCCGGUGUAGCGGUGAAAUGCGUAGAGAUCGGGAGGAAUACCAGUGGCGAAGGCGGCCUUCUGGACUGACACUGACACUGAGGUGCGAAAGCGUGGGUAGCAAACAGGAUUAGAUACCCCAGUAGUC